AUACUUCUCCUCCUCAGCGUCCAGUUGGAAGCCAUAAUGGAUUGCCUGCAUCUCUCCCGUCCAAUCAGAGAGCUCCACCUGCAGCAUGUACUGCCCUUGUUUGGCGAUUGCGUGUAUGUUCUCCAAGCCCAACCAGAAUUCACCUGAGGCUGUCCAUGCGUGAGUAGAUGUCUUCGUUCUGCUUCAUCACCUCAUCCACCUUGGCCAUCGCCUCACUCGUGGCCUCCACCUCCCGGGCUUUGAGAUCUUCAUCCUGCUCCUGCUGCUUUCUCUCAAGCGCAGUUAUGGUGCUGUUGAAGGCUUUCAGUUUGCCGCUGAUGUCCCGCAUCAUGACUUUGGACUUGUCCACAUGCUCCUUGAGCCCCUGGCCCAGCUGCAGCAGACCGUGGGUCACCACGUUGAUGUCGUCCCAGGAGGCUUGCUUAUCCCUUCUGUCCACAGGGAAAGCUGCUGCGGCGUUGAUGAGCAGCACGAGCAGGAGGGUGACAGUCUGAGGCGUUUUCAUCUUUGGUCUCUUUGGAUUCGGAAUGCUGCUCUUGGUUUCUCUUGUAAAGAUUUUAUAGCUGAGCGCUGCAGCUGAGGGCUCUGCUGAUUGGCCGUGGGGGCGUUGAAGGCAGGCACAAAGGGAGCUUGGGGGCGUGGAAACAAUUCAUUGUUGUCACCAAAUGUACGAUGAUGCAAUGAAAGCUUUGAAUUUCUGACAAAGGACUCUAAAAUGCCCGAUACUAUUACACCACUGCUAUUUUUUUUCAAAUAAUUUUUGUUGUAUAAACACCUAUUGUGUAUGUCUUUUUUUAAAUAGACACAUGUGGUAAGAGAGUAAAACCCGUAAACCCUGCAAAA